rnacentral:misc_RNA from 1 species
GGCUCAUCUAGUCUGGAAUAAAUGUCUUGGCUUAUCUGCUCAUAUAAUUGUGAGUAUUUGGGCUGGGGUGGGGGAUUGGUUCAAAAAGAGGUCUAUUACUUACAUGGAAUGCUGGACUGCUUUAUAGGCAUCAGAGGCUGGAAGGAAGUCAUUAACUGCAACUUCUUUGUUUUCAUUUUUCUUGUCUGAACAUGUUAUUAAGGAAAAAAUAUAUAUAUGUAUUUUACUUUCGUAGCCUUCAUAAAAGGAAAAAUGCAUGCCUAAAACUUUUGUAGUGCACACACAGGCUCCUUGCUAAACAAUAUUAAAAUAUAGAGAUGA